rnacentral:rRNA from 1 species
CCUACGGGUGGCAGCAGUCGAGAAUCAUUCACAAUGGGGGAAACCCUGAUGGUGCGACGCCGCGUGGGGGAAUGAAGGUCUUCGGAUUGUAAACCCCUGUCAUGUGGGAGCAAAUUAAAAAGAUAGUACCACAAGAGGAAGAGACGGCUAACUCUGUGCCAGCAGCCGCGGUAAUACAGAGGUCUCAAGCGUUGUUCGGAACCACUGGGCGGAAAGCGGGCGUAGGCUGUUUCGUAAGUCGUGUGUGAAAGGCGCGGGCUCAACCCGCGGACGGCACAUGAUACUGCGAGACUAGAGUAAUGGAGGGGGAAGCGGAAUUCUCGGUGUAGCAGUGAAAUGCGUAGAUAUCGAGAGGAACACUCGUGGCGAAGGCGGGUUCCUGGACAUUAACUGACGUUGAGGCACGAAGGCCAGGGGAGCGAAAGGGAUUAGAUACCCUAGUAGUC